CAGUGGGGAAUAUUGCACAAUGGGGGAAACCCUGAUGCAGCCAUGCCGCGUGUGUGAAGAAGGCCUUCGGGUUGUAAAGCACUUUCAGUAGGGAGGAAGGUAGUGUAGUUAACACCUGCAUUAUUUGACGUUACCUACAGAAGAAGCACCGGCUAACUCCGUGCCAGCAGCCGCGGUAAUACGGAGGGUGCGAGCGUUAAUCGGAAUUACUGGGCGUAAAGCGCAUGCAGGCGGCCUGUUAAGUCAGAUGUGAAAGCCCGGGGCUUAACCUCGGAAUUGCAUUUGAAACUGGCAGGCUAGAGUCUUGUAGAGGGGGUAGAAUUUCAGGUGUAGCGGUGAAAAUGCGUAGAGAUCUGAAGGAAUACCAGUGGCGAAGGCGGCCCCCCUGGACAAAGACUGACGCUCAGAUGCGAAAGCGUGGGGAGCAAACAGGAUUAGAUACCCUGGUAG
rnacentral:rRNA from 1 species